GACGAACGCUGGCGGCGUGCCUAAUACAUGCAAGUCGAACGCUUCUUUCCUCCCGAGUGCUUGCACUCAAUUGGAAAGAGGAGUGGCGGACGGGUGAGUAACACGUGGGUAACCUACCCAUCAGAGGGGGAUAACACUUGGAAACAGGUGCUAAUACCGCAUAACAGUUUAUGCCGCAUGGCAUAAGAGUGAAAGGCGCUUUCGGGUGUCGCUGAUGGAUGGACCCGCGGUGCGUUAGCUAGUUGGUGAGGUAACGGCCCACCAAGGCCACGAUGCAUAGCCGACCUGAGAGGGUGAUCGGCCACACUGGGACUGGGAAACGGCCCAGAGUCCUACGGGAGGCAGCAGUAGGGAAUCUUCGGCAAUGGACGAAAGUCUGACCGAGCAACGCCGCGUGAGUGAAGAAGGUUUUCGGAUCGUAAAACUCUGUUGUUAGAGAAGAACAAGGACGUUAGUAACUGAACGUCCCCUGACGGUAUCUAACCAGAAAGCCACGGCUAACUACGUG
rnacentral:rRNA from 1 species